GGUGGUAGUAGCUUAGUUGGUUAGAGCACCAGAUUGUGGCUCUGGGGGCCGGGGGUUCGAAUCCCCUCUUCCACCU
rnacentral:tRNA from 1 species